AGCGGGUAUAGUUUAGUGGUAAAACAUUAGCCUUCCAAGCUAAUGAUGCGGGUUCGAUUCCCGCUACCCGCUU
rnacentral:tRNA from 1 species